rnacentral:sRNA from 1 species
UUUUCGUCUGCAGAAAAGAGGAUGAGAACCUCCGAAGGAGGUUUGAGCCGAGCGUAGCGAGACAACGUUGCUUCAGCAACGGCCCGCAGGGCGCUGCUCGCAGAGCAGUGUAAUCCUCUCUCGCCGACCA